rnacentral:rRNA from 1 species
UACGUAGGGUCCAAGCGUUGUCCGGAUUUAUUGGGCGUAAAGAGCUCGUAGGCGGUUUCGUAAGUCGGAUGUGAAAACUCAGGGCUCAACCCGGAGACGCCAUCCGAUACUGCGAUGACUUGAGUCUGGUAGGGGAACACGGAAUUCCUGGUGUAGCGGUGAAAUGCGCAGAUAUCAGGAGGAACACCGAUGGCGAAGGCAGUGUUCUGGGCCAGUACUGACGCUGAGGAGCGAAAGCGUGGGUAGCAAACAGG